UACAGAGGUGGCAAGCGUUGUUCGGAAUUACUGGGCGUAAAGGGCGCGUAGGCGGCCUUCUAAGUCAGACGUGAAAUCCCCAGGCUUAACUUGGGAACUGCGUCUGAUACUGGGAGGCUUGAGUGCGGGAGAGGGAUGUGGAAUUCCAGGUGUAGCGGUGAAAUGCGUAGAUAUCUGGAGGAACACCGGUGGCGAAGGCGGCAUCCUGGACCGACACUGACGCUGAGGCGCGAAAAGCUAGGGGGAGCAAACGGGG
rnacentral:rRNA from 1 species